GGUGGUUCUCAGGUGAUGCACCCCAGAAUUGGGCUCCCUCCUCUCUGGUUCUGGGUGCAUUACCUGAGACCGCC
rfam:Myotis davidii contig215341, whole genome shotgun sequence.